GCCAACGUAGCUCAGUCGGUAGAGCACAUCCAUGGUAAGGAUGAGGUCGUCGGUUCAAUCCCGACCGUUGGCUCCA
rnacentral:tRNA from 1 species